rnacentral:tRNA from 1 species
CGGGGUAUAGCUCAGUUUGGUAGAGCGCGUAUUUUGGGAAUACGAGGCCGCAGGUUCAAGUCCUGCUGCUCCGACCA